CAGCCGCCGCGGUAAUACCGGCGGCCCGAGUGGCGGUCACUAUUAUUGGGCUUAAAGCGUCCGUAGCCGGGUUGGGAAGUCCUCCGGGAAAUCUGGCCGCUUAACGGUCAGAAUGCCGGAGGAUACUCCCAGCCUAGGGAGCGGGAGAGGCCGGGGGUACUCCUGGGGUAGGGGCGAAAUCCUAUAAUCCCAGGAGGACCACCAGUGGCGAAGGCGCCCGGCUGGCACGCGCCCGACGGUGAGGGACGAAAGCUGGGGGAGCAAAGGGGAUUAGAUACCCCCGUAGUCCCAGCUGUAAACGAUGCGGGCUAGAUGUUGGGCGGGCCUCGAGCCCGCCCAGUGUCGUAGGGAAGCCGUUAAGCCCGCCGCCUGGGGAGUACGGCCGCAAGGCUGAAACUUAAAGGAAUUGGCGGG
rnacentral:rRNA from 1 species